CUCUACGCCUAAGGCGGGAGCUCCUGGAGGCGGAGGCCAAGGGUGGGGGCUUAGUGGAGUGAGGGGUAGCAAGAUGGCGACCGAGACGGUGGAGCUCCAUAAGCUGAAGCUUGCUGAACUAAAGCAGGAAUGUCUUGCUCGUGGUUUGGAGACCAAGGGCAUAAAGCAAGAUCUUAUCCACAGACUCCAGGCAUAUCUUGAAGAACAUGCUGAAGAGGAGGCAAAUGAAGAAGAUGUACUGGGAGAUGAAACAGAGGAAGAAGAAACAAAGCCUAUAGAGCUCCCUGUCAAAGAGGAAGAACCCCCUGAAAAAACUGUUGAUGUGGCAGCAGAAAAGAAAGUGGUGAAAAUUACAUCUGAAAUACCACAGACUGAGAGAAUGCAGAAGAGGGCCGAACGAUUCAAUGUACCUGUGAGCUUGGAGAGUAAGAAAGCUGCUCGGGCAGCUAGGUUUGGGAUUUCUUCAGUUCCAACAAAAGGUCUAUCAUCUGACAACAAGCCUAUGGUUAACUUGGAUAAGCUGAAGGAAAGAGCUCAAAGAUUUGGUUUGAAUGUCUCUUCAAUCUCCAGAAAGUCUGAAGAUGAUGAGAAACUGAAAAAGAGGAAGGAACGAUUUGGGAUUGUCACAAGUUCAGCUGGAACUGGAACCACAGAGGAUACAGAGGCAAAGAAGAGGAAAAGAGCAGAGCGCUUUGGGAUUGCCUGAUGAAAAGUUCAUGUUACUUUCUGUUCUCCAGUGUUUUCCAUUUCUCUGAUUCUUCUUGGUCACAUAUAUACCUAAAUGCACAGUCAUGUGCCUACGUCCUGCCUCGCAAUGAGGGAGCAUGUACCCCAGGUUCAAGUGCUGGAUUGUGUCAUGUGACCAUCCCAAAACUCAGAGCACCCUAUGGCCAUCUUUGCCCUCUGUCACAUAACUUGAAAACUGCCUGAUGGCCUUUUUGCAGUGGUUCCCUCCAGGAAGCCUUGAUCUCAGUUGAAGAAGUUCUUUCCCGGCAUUCCAAUGCCCGUCAGCUUCAUACUACUCAGACACCCUUAACAAAGGCUGUCACACACACAAUGUAACAAAUACACAAAGUAAAUGAUAAUUAUACUAACAAUUAUAUGUUCAGAGGGGCACUGGCCAGGUCCACACACAUCAUAAGGUGGGAGGGGGUGCUAACUCCCACUGGGUUGCUGAGCUGUGCCCCCCAAGCCCCUAGACUCCAUGCCUCUUUGGGGGUAGGGAGGAACAGGGGAAUGAGACUUUAGCUCAUAGAUUUAUGUUCAUAAGGGAAAGACCCCCCUGACACACACACACAAAGGUCUUUAUUUGGUGGUAUUAAAGGGGCAGUAUUCUAAGUGUCCGCCAUAUUUAAUGCCCCAGUUCUCUAGAAUCUGUAGAGGGAAGAUACCUGAUGCUUACUGCCCAACUGCUACUCUGUGCCAAGAUCACAAGGCAUUUGACCUUGGAGGGAGAUAUCAUCUGCUCUUCUCUGUUUCUUUCCUUCCACCAAGAAAAUGUGAGUGGUAUUGAUGGCCGGGUGUGUCAUGUUCUCCAGAAUUCGGGCAGAAGGAUGAAGAACAGCCAGAGAGGCUUGGGGUUAUCAUAGCUGCUACAUGGGAGAAGGCAAGCUGAAAAGCUUAACAGCCCCUGCCCAUUCCUCUACUGAAACACCUUGUUUCACUUUCUCACUAUAAGAAUAGGAAUAAGAUGUUAAAGCUCACCAACAUCACCUUCUCAAGGGUGGUGACAUACCUUUCCCCUUCCACCAACUGGCCAAGGGGGAGAGUCAUGCUCUUGGGAAGAAUGAGCCAUCCAGGUUUGCUUACUAGCUUGGGCUUUAGUUCAGUACUGUUUUUAUCAGACCCGUAACUGCUGGCUCUACUUAGAGUGACAGUUUUGCUGAAGGUUCUUACCCCCACCUCUCCUGACAUCCUCUAAGCUCUUGCCUGGAGCCAAGAGGCCUGGUGGUGAAGUAAGGAUAGGGUGUGGGUCAGGAGAUUCUCAACUCCUUGGCUUCUAGGCACUGUCCAGCUGGGAGGCAGAGGGGAACUUGUACUCUGAAGCCUGUGACUCCUCUUAAGCCUCACAUCUCUUCACCACUACUCUGGUGCCCUGGUUAUCUGUCCCACAGCGAGAGGUAUUUUAUGUCCAUAAAGUGCCCGUGGUAAGUGCUCAGAAUUCAUCUCUUGGCUGUGGCGGGUGCUGCUAUUUCUCAUUCCAUUGAGGGGAAGAAACUGAGGCACAGUGAGUCCAGAGGAGAAUGGGUCAGGAUUGUGAGAGGAAAGAAUGGGCCUAGCUAGUGACUUGAAAUGGCAACCAGUCUCUGCCUGCUUCCUAGCCUUCCAAACCCAACAGUCUCCCAUCCAUCCCAUCCUCUGUUCUAACUGGCCCUGUCAGAUGCUUUUCCCCACUCUACUUUCCCCUCCCUGCUGCCAGGUACUGUUAGAUUCCAAAAAUAAAAGGAAAAAAUAAUUAUACGCUCUGCUUCCUUGUUCUCCCCCCUUCCACCCUGAGCUUUGGGGUUAGGGGACUGAAAUGUCCCCCUUCCAGAAUCCCUCCCACCUUGGUCUGCUGGCUCUAUUCCCUAGCCCAGAGCAGUGAUUUGGAUUCAAAUGCCCUGUAACUUUCAGCCUCCUUACUGCUCCUUUCUUGACCCCUCCUAACACUUCCCAUACCCAGGGGACUCUGGGGCCUCUAUACUCUUUCCUACUGACCUGAAGAUAGAGGCUGGGAGCAGGGCCAUUCCAGAGGCUCUUUGGUCUCUCUCUUGGCUGAGGGAAUUUGGGCAUAAGCAGGCUGUACCCUCUGGCUAAAUAACUCAGUAUCAAGAGGGUAGGCCUAAGGGUUUAAAGUAGCUCUCAUUAUAUAGAUCCUGGAUGUUGAGGGUUCUCUCUCCCAUCCCGCAUCUCCAGCUCUUAAACCCUAACCUCUUACUAUUUCCAUGACAACUGGCUUCAAUUCAACUCAUUUGGCUCAGAAAAGGUUUGACUUAGGGUGAUUAUGGGUUAGAAACUUCCAUGUGUCAGCCCUCUUGCCCUUUACUCCCAUUCCCAACCCUGGAGGCUUUAUACAAGUGCUUAAGUGGGCAGGUGUUGGGGAGUGCAAGGUUUGGGGAAUAAGGGAUAAAUGGGGCACAGUGGGCAGGGGCCCUCCUAUUCCAGUAAAGCCAAAUACCAAAAAAAA